rnacentral:rRNA from 1 species
GGCUCAGAUUGAACGCUGGCGGCAGGCCUAACACAUGCAAGUCGAGCGGAUGAAGGGAGCUUGCUCCUGGAUUCAGCGGCGGACGGGUGAGUAAUGCCUAGGAAUCUGCCUGGUAGUGGGGGACAACGUUUCGAAAGGAACGCUAAUACCGCAUACGUCCUACGGGAGAAAGCAGGGGACCUUCGGGCCUUGCGCUAUCAGAUGAGCCUAGGUCGGAUUAGCUAGUUGGUGAGGUAAUGGCUCACCAAGGCGACGAUCCGUAACUGGUCUGAGAGGAUGAUCAGUCACACUGGAACUGAGACACGGUCCAGACUCCUACGGGAGGCAGCAGUGGGGAAUAUUGGACAAUGGGCGAAAGCCUGAUCCAGCCAUGCCGCGUGUGUGAAGAAGG